UACAUGCAAGUCGAGCGGUAUAGAGACGUGCGCGAGCUUGCUCCGCGGCAUUCAGCGGCGGACGGGUGAGUAACACGUGGGUGACCUGCCUGGCACAUUGGGAUAACUCCGGGAAACCGGGGCUAAUACCGGAUAAGUUCUUUUCCCGCAUGCUGAGAGGUUGAAUUAUUUCUAUGCUGUCUGUUACAGAUGGGCCCGCGGCGGUUAGUGGGUUGGGGGGGUAACGGGCUACCAAGGCGACGAUGCGUAGCCAACCUGGAAGGGUGAUCGGCCACUCUGGGACUGAGACACGGCCCCACUCCUACGGGAGGCAGAAUAUUGGAAUCGUCCGCAAUGGACGAAAGUCUGACGGAGCAACGCCGCGUGAGUGACUAAGGCCUUCGGGUCGUAAAACUCUGUUAUCAGGGAAGAACAAGUGCCAUUUAACUGACGGUGCCUUGACGGUACCUGACCAGAAAGCCACGGCUAACUACGUGCCAGCGUCCGCGGUAAUACGUGGGUGGCAAGCGUUGUCCGGAAUUAUUGGGCGUAAAGCGCGCGCAGGCGGCUUCUUAAGUCUGAUGUGCAAGCCCUCGGCUCAUCCGUGGAGUGUCGUUGGAGACUGUGAGGCUUGAGUGCAGACGAUAAGAUCGGAAUUCCACGUGUAGCGCUGAAAUGCGUAAAGAUGUGCAGGAACACCAGUGUGAAACGCGGCUCUUUGGUCUGUAACUGACGCUGAGGCGCGAAAGCGUGGGGAGCGAACACGAUUACAUACGCCUGGCUAGUCCACGCCGUACACGAUGAGUGCUCAGUGUUAUGGGGUUUCCGCCCCUUACUGCUGCAGCAGACGCAUUAAGCACUCC
rnacentral:rRNA from 2 species